GACAAGAUUUAACGGCCGCGUACCCUAACCGUGCGAAGGUAGCAUAAUCACUUGUUCUUUAAAUGAGGACCGGUAUCAACGGCACCACGAGGAUCUUACUGUCUCCCCCCUCUAAUCAGUGAAACUGAUCUCCCCGUGAAGAAGCGGGGAUAUUUAUAUAAGACGAGAAGACCCCAUGGAGCUUUAAACCCGACAGCACCCGCCUAACCUACACCCCUCUAUUGACCCGGCCCCUGUCUGCUCGGUUUUAGGUUGGGGUGACCACGGAGUAUAAAACAACCUCCACGAAGAAAGGAGUAAUAAUCCUCAUCUAAGAGCCACACCUCUAAGAGCUAACAUAUUAACUUUUAAUGAUCCGAUAUUUGAUCAACGAACCAAGUUACCCUGGGGAUAACAGCGCAAUCCACCUCAAGAGCUCCUAUCGACAGGUGGGUUUACGACCUCGAUGUUGGAUCAGGGUAUCCCAGUGGUGCAGCAGCUACCAAAGGUUCGUUUGUUCAACGAUUAAAACCCU
rnacentral:rRNA from 1 species